GUCCAUUAAGCCUGAUACACAACACUGGACUUCAAGAGCUGGCAUGUUGUUAAGAUACAGAGCAAAGGUCUCUCCACAACACUGAAGGCAAACAUUAUUCACAAGCCUCAUGAGAAAACACUGAGGCUUGGGAUGACAGCUGGUAGAUUUGUGAACACACCCUCUGUAUCUGGGAUUCAGUGGCUACCCUGGUUUGUAUUCAGACUGAUAAGUGUAAGAGGAAAAGAAACCAUUGAGGUUACCUGAAACUUUUCCUGCCUUUCAUAAAGCUCCUGGAGACAUCAACAAGCAAAGCAAACAAAGAACAUAAUUAUUAUUCUUUACUGGCCUGGAAUGUCUGAGGAUGAAACUAAAGGCAGUGAUGAAGAGAGUGAAAACAAGUGAAAAGUGAAAUUGACAAUGACAGGGUUGAAAAUAACUACCACUGGGGGGAGCUCAUGUUUACUUCAUCAUUCAGUUACUGAGCACACAGCAUUUACUGGAGUGGUCAAACUUUGUCAUACGUGAGCACAAAUAAAAAUAAUAAUCCUUG